AUUGAACGCUGGCGGCAGGCCUAACACAUGCAAGUCGAGCGGAUGAAGGGAGCUUGCUCCUGGAUUCAGCGGCGGACGGGUGAGUAAUGCCUAGGAAUCUGCCUGGUAGUGGGGGAUAACGUCCGGAAACGGGCGCUAAUACCGCAUACGUCCUGAGGGAGAAAGUGGGGGAUCUUCGGACCUCACGCUAUCAGAUGAGCCUAGGUCGGAUUAGCUAGUUGGUGGGGUAAAGGCCUACCAAGGCGACGAUCCGUAACUGGUCUGUGAGGAUGAUCAGUCACACUGGAACUGGGACACGGUCCAGACUCCUACGGGAGGCAGCAGUGGGGAAUAUUGGACAAUGGUCGAAAGCCUGAUCCAGCCAUGCCGCGUGUGUUAAGAAGGUCUUCGGAUUGUAAAGCACUUUAAGUUGGGAGGAAGGGCAUUAAGUUAAUACCUUGCUGUUUUGACGUUACCAACAGAAUAAGCACCGGCUAACUUCGUG
rnacentral:rRNA from 1 species